rnacentral:rRNA from 1 species
AUUGAACGCUGGCGGCAUGCCUUACACAUGCAAGUCGAACGGCAGCACGGGAGCAAUCCUGGUGGCGAGUGGCGAACGGGUGAGUAAAGUAUCGGAACGUGCCCAGUCGUGGGGGAUGACGUAGCGAAAGUUACGCUAAUACCGCAUACGAUCUGAGGAUGAAAGCGGGGGACCGUAAGGCCUCGCGCGAUCGGAGCGGCCGAUGUCAGAUUAGGUAGUUGGUGGGGUAAAGGCUCACCAAGCCGACGAUCUGUAGCUGGUCUGAGAGGACGACCAGCCACACUGGGACUGAGACACGGCCCAGACUCCUACGGGAGGCAGCAGUGGGGAAUUUUGGACAAUGGGCGAAAGCCUGAUCCAGCCAUGCCGCGUGCAGGAUGAAGGCCUUCGGGUUGUAAACUGCUUUUGUACGGAACGAAAAGGUUUGGCCUAAUAAGCUGAGCUCAUGACGGUACCGUAAGAAUAAGCACCGGCUAACUACGUGCCAGCCGCCGCGGUAA